rnacentral:rRNA from 1 species
AUUGAACGCUGGCGGCAGGCUUAACACAUGCAAGUCGAGCGGGGUGAUGGUGCUUGCACUAUCACUUAGCGGCGGACGGGUGAGUAAUGCUUAGGAAUCUGCCUAUUAGUGGGGGACAACAUCUCGAAAGGGAUGCUAAUACCGCAUACGUCCUACGGGAGAAAGCAGGGGAUCACUUGUGACCUUGCGCUAAUAGAUGAGCCUAAGUCGGAUUAGCUAGUUGGUGGGGUAAAGGCCUACCAAGGCGACGAUCUGUAGCGGGUCUGAGAGGAUGAACCGCCACACUGGGACUGGGACACGGCCCAGACUCCUACGGGAGGCAGCAGUGGGGAAUAUUGGACAAUGGGGGGAACCCUGAUCCAGCCAUGCCGCGUGUGUGAAGAAGGCCUUAUGGUUGUAAAGCACUUUAAGCGAGGAGGAGGCUCUUUUGGUUAAUACCCAGAAUGAGUGGACGUUACUCGCAGAAUAAGCACCGGCUAACUCUGUGCCAGCCGCCGCCGUAA